GCGUUAUCCGGAAUGAUUGGGCGUAAAGCGUCUGUAGGUGGUUUAAAAAGUCUCCUGUCAAAGAUCAGGGCUUAACCCUGGGCCGGCAGGAGAAACUCUUAGGCUAGAGUUUGGUAGGGGCAGAGGGAAUUCCCGGUGGAGCGGUGAAAUGCGUAGAGAUCGGGAGGAACACCAAAGGCGAAAGCACUCUGCUGGGCCGACCCUGACGCUGAGGCGCGACAGCCAG
rnacentral:rRNA from 1 species